UACGUAGGGUGCAAGCGUUAAUCGGGAUUACUGGGCGUAAAGCGUGCGCAGGUCGGUUGUGCAAGACAGAUGUGAAAAUCCCCGGGCUCAACCUGGGAACUGCAUUUGUGACUGCACGGCUAGAGUACGGUAGAGGGGAUGGAAUUCCGCGUGUAGCAGUGAAAUGCGUAGAUAUGUGGAGGAACACCGAUGGCGAAGGCAGCCCCCUGGGUCGACACUGACGCUCAUGCACG
rnacentral:rRNA from 1 species